AUGGAGAAGAAGAAAGAGAGGACAUUGACCUCCAUUCUUGGGAAGGAGCCAGCGAUAGGAAAAAAGAAGAAGGGCAGAAGCAAGACCUCCAGCUCCAUGGACGCCGACAUCGAGCCGUCCUUUCGCUCCAAGGCCAAUCCAAGCAUCUUCCUUGUCGACCCGCAUGUGACGGCAAAGCAGCAGGCGCGAGCACGGCCACCCCCGCCUCCGCCUCGGUGUCUACCUGACAACAAAGGUAUCAGCGCGCGGGCGCAAAUGAUGUAG
rnacentral:rRNA from 1 species